AGCUGCAGGACAACAGAGAGAGAAAUUACAAACACACAACAACCACAACAACAACAAACAUACAACAACAACCACACAACAAACACACAAUAACAACAACAACAACCACACAACAAACACACAACAACAGCAACAACAAACAUACAACAACAACAACAACCACACAACAAACACACAAUAACAACAACAACAGCAACAACAAACAUACAACAACAAACACACAACAACAACAACAACAACAACAACAAACAUACAACAACAAACACACAACAAACACAGCAACAACAAACACACAAUAACGACAGCAACAACAAACAAACAUUAACAACAACAACAAACAUACAACAACAACAGCAACAACAAACAUACAACAACAAUAAACUGUAAACAUCAUGAUAAAGUAAACAAUUAUCACAACAUUCAUAGACACACAGUAAUGUCACUGUGUGAGAGUGUGUGUGUGUGAGUGAGUGUGUUUGUGUGAGUGUGUGUGUUUGUGUGUGUUUGUGUGUGUGUGUGUGUGUGAAAGAGUGAGUGAGAGUGUGUGUGUGUUAUGUAGUGUGUGUUAUGUAGUGUGUGUGUGUGUGUGAGAGAGUGUGUGUGUUGGUUUUUAUGGUUUACCGGGACUUUUGACCUGUUUACAUACCGACAUUAUGGGGACAUCUGGGAUUAUGAGGACAGAACCGGUGUCCUCAUAAUUCCUGAUAUGUAGCUGCAUUUAUCUAUAUCAGAGGAACUCCCAGUCAAAUUUUCUCUUGAAGUCCCAUUACACCACAAAGCCUUGAGAGUGGCUUAACACAGUGUUAACCCGGACCCCUGUAGACUGGUGUCGGUAUUGCAUACGCUUAACACCGGCGAAAAACAUUCUCAAACAUUUUGAGACUCCUGAUUGGCUACCACUGGAUUGCCAAAUUAGCGUGACUGUGAUGGAGAUGACCAUACAGUCUCUACAUGCAGCUGUACUACCUUCACUCUGUAAAUAUAUCACUCCUGGAACUGUUCUAGUCUCCCCGAUUACAGCAUCAUGGCAUUUAAUUCGCUAAAUUAUUAACUCGAUAAUCCAAUUAGUAAAUCUGUUGCUCCAGUAAAGUUCAUUUCGUGAAAUCUCGUUCAAAAUAAGAGUGGAGAAAUGUAAAUGAGAGUAAGUGAAGCAUGUUUAAAUCUCUCAGAGUUUAAAGCCCAUCUUUCCCUCAGUGUGCUGAUAGAUCAGUCAGUGGGUUAGAGAAAAGGUGCUUUACUGAACCACGGCUUAUAUACAGACUAAACGUGUUAAAGCUCCAACCUUCAGAUAAAAUUAUUCAAGUAAACUUUAACAAGGAUGACUUCUGCCUGGGAAACAGCAUUCUUUAAGCAAGAUGACUGAAAUGAAGCUGAGGAGAGGGAAAGCAAAUCCCAAAAAGGAGGCUGAAGAUUUUACAGCAACUGGCAAAGACACAGAUGGAUUUAAUGUGAAGUAUAUAAAUUCAGAUAAAGGUAAGAUUUAUUUAAAUGUCAUUCUUUGUUAGUUUUUUUUUUUAUUAACAGUUAGGGUCAUCAAGAAUAUUAAGAAUGAAAACUAUGGAGUCAAUUCAAUGCCACAUAUAUUCGCAAAAGAAUUUAUGUGUUGCAAAAGGAAAUAAAGUUUUGCAAAUGAAAAAAAUGAAAUUUGCAAAACAAAAAUAAAGAGUUCAAUCAAUCAAUCAAUCAAUCAACAUUUAUUUGUAUAGCACCUUACAAUAACCUAAAUUGAACCAAAGUGCUUUACAGCGUUAAAAAGGUGAUUAAAACAAUGUCUAUGUAAAAUGAAAUUGAAAUAAAAUAACAGUGAGAUAUACAAAACACAGAAAAUGAUUAUAAGCCAAAAGCCAUUUUAAAUAAGUGAGUCUUGAGUUUGGCUUUAAACAGAGGCAGGUCAGUAAUAGUACGCAACUCAUAAGGAAUUGUGUUCCAGGGUUUAGGACCGGCCACUGCAAAGGAGCCAUCACCCCACUGUUUGUAGCUCGACCGAGGGACCUCUAGUACGUUAUGAUUGCAGUUGUGAAGGAGAAGUCUGGGUCUGAGGGACAAGAUACAAUAGGACCAAGUGAGAAGACAGCAAAAGACUGUAAACAUUAAACUGUUUCCAGCAUGAACAAAUGUGCUGCAUGUGCUGGACCGGUUGUUUCACUCAGAUGGAUUGGUCUUAGAUGCAAAGUUUGCUCUUGUUUUUGGCACAAGUCCUGCUUCACUAAAAUUGGAAAGAAUGAGAACGAGUUGCUAUCAUGGGGUGUAAGUUCUGAUGAGGAGUCACAAUCAGAUGAGGAAUAUGUACCAGAGUCAGAGAAUGAAUCUGAGAGCUCAGUAGAGUUACAAGUAGAGUAUACGGAGAAACAAAAGGCUAUCUAUUCCAAGGUCACAAAGUUGAAUCCUGAAGAUGCAAGCAAGGGCAAAGUGUGUGUUAAAGCCAGAGAAGGAUCUUGUGAAGAAGCUGAUUUAUUUUAUGGGGAGCAGCUGACUGAUGUAGAAUCUGAUGAUGAGAUCAUUAGACAAUGCAAAGUUAAGCAAAUUUCGAAAUCCCACAGAACAUCAGUAGUUACAGAAUUAGGCAGUGGAUUAGACUGUUUAACUCUGCCAACAGCAGUCACUGGAAAACCUAAGGACCAGCAACUCUUAGAUGCAAGAGGAGAAGCUAGUGGAGCUUUUGAGGAGUCUCUGAUGGCAGAGGGCAAGAAUAAAGUGACUGGACCAGAUGAGUCUAUUCAGGUGUCUACAAUUUCCUGUUCUGAAACUAAAAAAAAAUACCGUUAUAUUUGUGGGAAACCCCAGUCAAAAAUUUCUCGACAUCUGAAAACACACAUGACAGAAGUUGAAGUUGCAAAAGCACUGUCCUUCCCAAAGAACUCAAAAGAACGUAAAGUAUUGCUGGAGAAACUUAGAAACAAAGGCAAUUAUCAGCAUAAUACUGAUGUUGAAAAGAAAGGAACUGGGAUGCUCAAAGUAAGAAGAAAACCAGCCAGAACUUGUGAUUUCAAAGACUUUGUGCAUUGUAUGUACUGCAAAGGGAUGUUUGUCCGUAAAGACUUAUGGCGACGUGUAAAAAGAUGUUCUUUAAAGCCAGGAGAGCUACAUGAACACCAUGGUAGGGCCAGGGUUUUGGGUUUGGCAGCCAUGGCAGAGUCUACAUUCCCACACCAGAUAUCUCCAGGGGUUUGGAAGCUCUUAAGCGUAAUGAAGCAAGAUGAGGUUGCCUCUGUAGUAUGCAAUGACUUUUGCAUUCUUCAACUAGCACAGUCUUUCUUCAAUAAACAUGGAAAUGACCCUACUAAGUAUGAAUAUAUUCGACAGAAGCUUCGUGAAAUUGGAAGAUUUUUAUUAACUCUGCGCAAUGAGUCUUCCAUCCUGUAAGGAUCUGCCAGAGGCGGAGGAUGUAGAAUCCAUAAGCAGAUUUACCAGGAACCAGGAAAUGAGGCAGUGGUCAAAAAUACCGGAAAGCAGAAACGUGGCAAACUAAUCUGACAAACAGUGAGCAGAAUCAAAGUCGAGGAAAGAAGCAGGGUCGAGAACAGAAAACAGUAUCAGAGGCAGGCAAAAAUCAGUGGUCAAAAAGGCAAACAAAGUCAUACAGGAAAGAACAAUAACAAUGAAAACGUUCAGUAUACAACCUAGAAGUGAUACUUCGCAAAUAACAGUGUGUGCAUGCAGCUUAAAUGUCCGUGGGAAACCAAGAAGGGAACCAUGUGAUCACUCUCAAAACUCAGGCGAGGGCUCCCCCUGGUGUUCAGAGACAGAACGAGACGUAACACAUCCAUAGCCUCGAGGAAGCUGUAAAACCUGCCAACUUUUCAAGUGUUGUUCAAACUGUCAAAACCGUGUCUGGCUUUGAUGAAGAAAUGAACUGCUACCAAACACCAACCCUAGCCUUAAAAUUGGGGCACAAAUUACAAAAGGUGUGCGAAAUUAUCCAUUGUACAGCUUUAAUGGCAGAGGAUGAAGAGCUAAUCAAAUCAACUGAGACAUUCAAAAAACUGUAUAGCAGCAAGUGGUCAGACUUCAUCUCCCACAAUGCUUUAAGCACGCUGAAUGAAGCAAAAUUCAACAAGCCAUUAACACUACCAUUUACUCAUGAUGUUCAGCUUCUUCACAAACACCUGGAGACAAUUGCAGAUGUGUCAUCUGAAAAGCUGAAGCAGGCUCCAUCACCACAAUUAUGCCAGGACUGCCUGAGACUCUAUGCAUCUCAGUGUGGAGCUCAAAAUCCAGAACAUCUUAAAUCAACCCAUUUGCGUAAACAUGUUGCCACUCUCUCACAAAUUCUUAACCUAAAGAACAAUGAAUUGGAUCAAGUUGCAGACUUCUUGGGACAUGACAUUCAUAUACACCGUGAAUACUACAGGCUCCCAGAUGCAACAUUUCAGCUAGCUAAAAUAUCUAAACUUCUCCUGGCUAUGGAAAAAGGUCGUCUUCCUGAUAUUCAAGGCAAAUCACUUGAUGACAUUGAAAUUGAAGAUGAAAUCAACACUGAUGGCAGUGCUGGAAGUGAAUCUGAGAAUGGGGAUGAAGGUGAGAAUUUGGAGGCUUUGGAGGCACGAGUACACCAGUGCAGAUCGGGAUGCGGAAGGAUCAGGCACCAAAAGAGGACAAGGCUGGAGGUUCUCAUUGCAUUUCCUAGGUUCUACCUGUAGAGUUGACUUUUAUAAUCAAUAAAAAUGGAUGAAGCUGUUAUUUUAGUAACAUAUUUCAGUAUUAUUUACCUAUUAUUAAUCUUAAACAAAGCUAUUUGUCAUCAUACAACUUUUCCUUGUUUACUUUCUAUGGUUGUGUGGAGUGCAUGUUUUUGAUGUUUAAUUGCUUUUUUAGUUGUUUAGGUGCUCUGCCCAUGUCCCAUAGAGCUUUGAUGCACAGAGUCUUGAGUCUUUUGUGCAGUUAGCUGGCCACAAAUAUCACAGUUUUAACCAUCAUAAUCUAUUUGAAUGUGCAUUAUUCUUGUGUAUACCUACAUUUACGUGUAGGUUAGUGGAAGACUGAGCUUUUUGGAGAUUUCAACCCAAUAGCUAGACAGUGCAGUAUUCAGACCAUACAUACCACACAUAAUCAUCUUUAUUUUCUGAGAUCAAUGUUUAUUUUGUUUGUAUAGCAGUGUUCCAGGGCAAUGUUGCAGCAGAGACUGGAAACUCUAGACAGAGGACACGAACACCAUGGUCUAAACGUGAGGAGGUGGCUGUAAUGAAAUAUUUUAUAUCUCAUAUAACCACAGAAAACUGGCCACAAUGGCAGUGUGUGUGCAGUGUAAGACUGCGGAGGAUCCUGUGCUGGCAGGCCGCACAGUACAAACUAUACGGGAUUUUGUUCGAAACAGGGGAAUAACUUUAAAAAGGAAAGCCCUGUGUGACUGAGGACAAUGUUUUGAUAUCCAGGGGAUGCUACAUAUUUAAAAGAGCCAAUUGAGAACUAUGUUUAAGUUCUGUUAUAAUACACUAUAUUGCCAAAAGUAUUCGCUCACCCAUCCAAAUAAUCAGAAUCAGGUGUUCCAAUCACUUCCAUGGCCACAGGUGUAUAAAAUCAAGCACCUAGGCAUGCAGACUGUUUUUACAAACAUUUGUGAAAGAAUGGGUCGCUCUCAGGAGCUCAGUGAAUUCCAGCGUGGAACUGUGAUAGGAUGCCGCCUGUGCAACAAAUCCAGUCGUGAAAUUUCCUCGCUCCUAAAUAUUCCACAGUCAACUGUCAGCUGUAUUAUAAGAACGUGGAAGUGUUUGGGAACGACAGCAACUCAGCCACGAAGUGGUAGGCCACGU